UGAGUAGGCGGUAAUAUGUGUCAGAUGUAAAAGGCUAUGGCUUAACCAUAGUUGGCAUUUGAAACUGUAUUACUUGAGUGCAGGAGAGGUAAGUGGAAUUCCUAGUGUAGCGGUGAAAUGCGUAGAUAUUAGGAGGAACACCAGUGGCGAAGGCGACUUACUGGACUGUAACUGACGCUGAGUCACGAAAGCGUGGGUAGCAAACG
rnacentral:rRNA from 1 species